rnacentral:rRNA from 1 species
AGACUAGAAUGAACGGUUAAACAAAGACACUUAUUUUUACCAAAUAAUAAUAAAAUUUGUACUGCAAGUAAAAAUACUUGCAUAACCUUAAGGGACGAUAAGACCCUAAAAGCUUCAAACAACUUAUUAAAUUUAAACAAACCCUAAUUAGUUUUUAGCUGGGGUAGUCUUCCAAAAAUCUUUGAUCAACUCAAAUAAACAAAAGAUCCAUCAAAUUUUGAUAAAUUGAAAAAGUUACUUUAGGGUUAACAGCACAAUAAUUUUGGAGAGAACUUAUCUAUAAAAUUGAUUGUGACCUCGAUGUUGAAUUAUAAUUUCUCUAUAAAGCAGCAGCUAUAUAAGAUGGUUUGUUCAACCAAUAACUUUAUACAUGAUUU